rnacentral:lncRNA from 1 species
GAUAGUUGUGAAGAGAACAAGGGUGCACCACUAUCUGCGAUCGGCACUAUCAGCAAUGGAACAACCUACAUCCAUCCAAAGAUGUAGUGCCCCUAGCAAAAGGGACGUUAGUACUAUCGAAUAGUACUAGUAUGUAUGGCAAACACAAUUGCAAAUAGGAUGAACAAUGAACCAAAUGGAAGGCAAAUACAUCAUCAACAAUUACACAACAAAAAUUUACCAAAUAAGCUUUAUAUGAUUUUGAUUAAGUCUUUCAAUUCCUUUAGGUUAAUAUGCUUUAGUGCCAAGUACCAUAUCUUUAUAAUAUAAUACCACCGUGGGGUUUAUAACACGGAGUCCUCUCUCGACCACCCGACCGGCUAACCAUCCACAGUGAGGCAUAUCCAUAUUCAUGAUAAUGUUUCGGAACCCAGUAUAAAUGCUGCCAUAUGUACAACAUGGUGUCCGAUAUCGGUCCGAUCGGCUAAGCCAUCUCACUUGGGACAUAGCCUCUUUUAAUUACUCUGUAGUUCCCAUUUCCUUCCAUUUUUUUCACACACCUGGUACCACACCUCUUUUAAUUUAUUUGUUCCUUGGCACUUAGAUACAUCAACUCAACACAAGUCUUCCCUUUGUCAAUUUGUUCAGGCAAUUCCAUCAUUCAUUUGUCAAGGGAUAUUAUACAAGACAUGCACACGCUUAAGAAAAAUAGCGAAAACUUGAAAGACAUGAUCACCUCAUCAAUUUUCAUGAUUUCAAAUAAGCAUAUAGAGCAAUGUGGAACGGAAGUUCGUCAGCCAAUACAUUAAUGCAAUUAAUCAAGUAGAAUCAAUUUUAAAUUUCACGUCAACCAUUUCAACACUAAGAAUUCAACGGCAAAAAGAAAGGGUUAGCCAUACAUACCUCAACAAAGUCUCCCUUAAUUACUUACAAUAAAUUCCAUAAAUCCCUAGAAACUUUGAUCUAUUUUGUGAGAGCUAUGAAUUUAGCCAAGAAUUAGAGAUACGACUAAGAUUUCUAGCUCAUUUUAGCAUAUUGUCAAGCACUAGGUGUACAUUGUGAUUUUUAGUUCGUUUUGUGAGAAAUUUUAUCAUUUUCUACUCCAGUCACCAUAUUUUGAAUCCACAAUCUUCCCAUACCCCGUUGUUAAUUACCCAUGUACCCACUUGCUAAUUACUUAGUUUAACAUAAUAUUUGAAAUUAUUGAUGAAGGUGUGGUCACUUACCAAUUAGGAUGAAGACCUAGUAGCCUCCAUUAAAAAUAUUCAAGGAUUUUGGCAUUAAUUUAGAGAGAGCUCGAUGAAUGUUACUCCGUCUCACUCUAGAACUCCACCUCUCUCUCCUUAUGUUGUGAAAAAGGACAGAAAUAGCCUGUAGUUGUGUUUUUUUGUUUGGGUGGGGCCGGAUUUUAAAAUUUAGAAAAUAUGAGCCCAAGUCAAAUUUGCCGUAACAUUUGCGAUCGCAAAGUUAAAAUGCGGUCCGCAGAAUGGACGCAAAAAUGCUCCAAAAACUGGACACUCUAGCUGGAUUUGCGGCAGAAAUACGGUAUGCAUUCACGUUUUGUGAUUGCAUAAUGCACCACAGAAAUACCUUUCCCAAAAUCCUUGGGAGAUUAUGCGAUGACUAUACGGUCUUCAUUAUGGUUAUGCGAUCGCAUAAUUGUUCGCAUUGUUGGCUUCAAAUUUGGCCAACACACUGAUUCGUUAUGCGGUAGAAAUAUGGCCUGAAUACUUGAUAUGUGGUCGCAUUCUCGAUUGCAUUUCAAACAUAUUUUCUUGUUUUUUUAAAUGCAUAGCUUAGUCCAAAAGGGUCCAAACCACAGCUCGCAAGCUCGUCGCGAAGAAUUUUUACACAUAUCUAAUACACAUUCCUAAUCCGACACUACGAGCUUUAUGGUUUAUUGCAAAAAUAUUUGAGGGGCCUCAUAUUCUCCCCCUCUUAGGAUUAUUCGUCCCUGAAUGACGGUCAAGGUUCCCUUACUAGCAGUCUCUCAUGAACACCCAGUGUCUCACAAUCAUGGGAUAUUUCAAUAACUCCGAAUUUGGUUAACUCUGUAAAUUUCUAAAAUUUCUCUAGAAUUCCCUUUGUAUCUAUGACUAUCCACCUAUCAGAGAACCCAGAAAAAACAUGACCUAAAUGCAUAUAUACAUGAUCCAUAGACAUAACAUGACCUUUGCAGUAUCAACCUUGGCCACAUGGAAUAUCGUAUAACAAGGAUGAAGCAGAACCGUUUUCACAUAGAUUGAAAUAAAGAUAAAAUUUUCAUAGGGACCAAAUUGUGGAAAGCUAUUACAUGGCUAUACAAAAAAAUGUGGCUACUUCCUUUUCAUUUCGUCAUCAGCUUCCCAACUGGUCUCUUCGACAUGCUAGUUUCGCCACAUCACCUUUGCGAAGGCAAUUUCCUUAUUCCUCAAUUUUCGGACCUGCCUGUCAAGAAUGGAAAAUGGGACUCCUUCAUAGGACAACUCUUCAUUGACCUUAAUAGUUUCAACCAAUACGAUAGUGGACGGAUCUCCUAGUACUUUCUUCAACAUAGACACAUAAAAUAUUGGGUAUACCAAUGACAUCUCGGGCAGCAACUCAAGCUUGUAUGCUACUUGACCAAUCCGCUGGAUAAUCGUGUACGGUCCGAUAUAUCUUGGGCUCAAUUUCCCUUUCUUCCCGAACCGUAUGAUACUAUUUAUGGGGGAAACCUUCAAGAAUACCCAAUCGUCUUCUUUGAAUUCCAAAUCCCCAUGGCGAACAUCCAAAUAAUACUUUUGGCGACUAUGAGCAGUCUUCAAUCUUUCCUUAAUCCUCUUGACCUUCUCCAUGGCCUGGUGCACAAGGUUUGGCCCUAUCAAUUCAGCUUCCCCAAUUUCGAACCACCUAAUUGGGGACCUAUAUCUUCUACUAUACAAUGCCUCAAAUGCUGCAAUUUGGAUACUGGCGUGGAAUCUGUUGUUAUAAGAAAAGUAUAUGAGUGGAAAUUAAUCAUCCCAGAUACCUUAGAAAUCAAGGGUGCAAGCACGCAACAUGUCCUCAAGUGUCCGAAUAGUCCACUCAGCUUGCCCGUCAGUUUGAGGGUGAAAAGCUAUGCUAAGAUUUACCUACGUGCCCUAACCCUGCUGAAAGUUUUUCGAAAAAGUUGGCUGUGACAACGCCCCUAGAUCUAAAAUGAUUGAGAUCGGAGUACCAUGAAACUUGACUAUUUCCUUGAUAUAUAACUGAGCAUACUAUUCCGCUGUUUCGGUAGAUUUGACUGGCAAGAAUUGCAAACUUUUCAUGAGUCAAUCAACAAUCACCCAAAUUGAUUCAAACUUGUGCGGAGUGCACGACAAUCCUACCACAAAAUCCAUAUUCAUCAUCUCCCAUUUCCAUAUAGGAAUAUCCAUGCUUUGAGCAAGUCCCCCAAGACUUUGAUGUUUGGCUUUCACUUGCUGACAGUUCAGACAUCGAGCUACAAAGUCCACUACAUCCCUUUUCAUGUUAUUCCACCAAUAGACUUUCUUGAGACAUGAUACAUUUUCAUAAAACCAGGGUGCACGGAGUAUCCAGAAGUGUGAGCUUCUGCCAUGAAUAUUUCUCGAAGACUAUCAACAUUUGGAACACAUAGGCAGCCUUGGCACCGCAGGAUACCAUCCUCUCUGACAAGAGAAAAAGUUGUGGUUUUGUCCCCUAUUUCAAAUGCACUAACGAUGGGUCGUCAAAUUGUUUUUCCUUCACCUAUUCCACAAGCGAUGAUUCCAUCGUAUUUUGCACAACUGCCCCUCCAUCAUUAGAACCCAUAAGAUGGACUCCUAAACUGGCCAAUUGAUGAACUUGUGGGGCCAACGACCACUAAUCCGCCCUCAAAUAAGCCAAACUCCCAACAUAUUUCCGGCUAAGAGCAUCAGCCACAUCGUUAUCCUUUCCCGGGUGAUGGAGAAUAUCAAUGUCAUAGUUCUUGAGUAACCCUAGCCAAGCCUCAAUUUUAGCUACUUUUGCUUGAAAAUAUAUUGAAGGCUCUUUUGGUCCGUGAAUACAUCCACAUGGACCCCAUAUUGAUAAUGACACCAAAUCUUUAGCGCGAACAGCACUGCCGCUAGCUCUAAGUCAUGAUUUGGAUAGUUCUUUUCAUGAUUCUUGAGUUUCCUAGAAGCGUAGGUUAUAACCAUACCGUGUUGAAUUAACACACACCCAAGCCUGAUCUUUGAAGCAUCGUAAUACACCAAACAUCCCUCUGUACCCUCCGGUAGGGUUAAUACCGAUGUUGUAGUCAAUCUUGAUUUCAAUUCCUAGAAACUCCUUUCACAAGCAUCGGACCACUGGAACUUAGAUGCUUUCUGUUCAAUUUAGUCAAGGGAGAGGCAAGAGUGGAAAAUCCUUCCACAUAUCGUCAAUAGUAUCCGGCCAAACCGAAAAACCUGCGAAUAUCUAUUGGUGUGGUGGGCCUGGGCCAAUUCCUCACUGCUACAAUCUUUUCAGGGUCAACCAUAAUUCGUUCUGGGGAGACAACGUGACCCAAAAAUGCAAUAGAUUCAAGCAAAAAUUCACAUUUUGAAAACGUUGCCUAUAGCUGAUGUUGCAGGAGAGUCUGCAGAACCGCCCUGAGAUGGCAAACAUGGUCCUCCUGACUACGGAAUACACAAGAAUAUCGUCAAUGAACACGAUCACCAAUGAGUCUAGAAAAGGCUUAAAGACUCGAUUCAUAAGAUCCAUGAACGCUGCCGGUGCAUUUAUCUAGCCCAAAAGACAUCACCAGAAAUUCUAAGUGCUCAUACCGAGUUGUAAAGCUAUUUUUGGAACAUCUUUCUCCCUUAUCUUCUAUUGGAUAUUUGGAUCACAAAUCAAUUUUUGAAAAGCAUGAGACACCUCACAAUUGAUCAAACAAAUCAUCUAUCAUUGGCAACGAGAUUUUUUAUUGUGACCAUAUUGAGUUGCCGAUAGCCAAUACACAUUUGCAACAACCCAUUGUUCUUUCUGAUAAAGAAAAUCGGAGUGCCCCAAUGUGACAAACUCGAUCGAAUGAAACCCUUCUCUAAAAGAUCCUUCAGUUGUUCCUUUAGCUCCUUCAGCUCUGUUGGUGGCAUUCUAAAGGGUGGAAUAGAUAUAGGUUGGGUGCCUGGCAUCACAUCAAUCCAAUAACCAAUCUCCCUAUCUGGAGGAAUCCCAAGGAGCUCGUCUGGAAACACAUCGAGAAAUUCACCACAAUUGGCACAGAUUCAAGAGUUGGCACCUCAGUUGUAGUGUCCAUAACUCAGACCAAAUGACAAGUGCACCCUUUCCUGAUCAUCUUCGAGUCCUUAAAGUAAGAUAUAAACCUACCAUUCGGCAUGACAUUAUUCCCUUCCCACUCAAUAGCUAGCUCGUUAGGAAAUUCGAGCCUCAUGACCCUAGUUCGGCAAUUAAGUUUAACAAAGCAUGAAUAAAUCCAAUCCAUUCCUAUUAUUACAUCAAAAUCAACCAUCUCCAAAUCAUCUAGAUCGGCCAUGGAAUCCUAAUCACGCACAGUGACUACAGAACCCUUGUAAACCUGUGCGGCAGUAACAGACUCGCCGACUGGAAUAGAUAUGGAGAACAACUCAUGAAGCUAUUCCGGUUCUAUCAUGAAGUUUAAAGAAGCAUAUUGGGUAACAUAGGACAAGGAAGACUAUGGAUCAAUAAGAGCAUAUACAUCAUGAGAUUGAAUGGUCAAUAUACCUGUGACAGCAUUUGGGGAGGCCUCUACACUCUGACAACCACAAAUUUCUACAUAUUUCUAAUACACAUUCCUAAUCCGGCACUACGAGCUUUCUAGUUUAUAGCAAAAACCUUUUCAUGGGCCUCACACGACCUAUGGAGGGAAGUGCAGGUGAAUGAGUAUUCUAUUGUUGACCAACUGAACUAAAUCCCUGCUCAGAUAUCUAUCCUUGCAGUGUUGCAAAAUUCAGAGGUCCACAAAAAUUCUUUAAUGAAGGUGUUAAGUAAGGUUUAUGUACCCAAAAACAUCACCAAUGGAGAAAUGGCCAACAUGGUUGGGCAAGUGUAGGAGAGCCAUAAGAUUAGCUUCCACGAAGAUGAGCUACCGCUUCAGAGUUUGAAUCACAAAUGAGCAUUGCAUAUUAUGGUGUAAUUUGAAGACAAGUUCAUUUCCAAGGUCCUGGUGACGGAGGUUCAAUCCUAAAUAUUGGUCUGUUUGACACUCUUAAAAGGUUGGACAAAGGUUUCCAUGAAAUACAGGUAGGACGCAUGAAUGUGAAAGCUUUCGAUGGGUCUUAGAGGGCCAAGAUCGAGGAAUUUAGCCUUCGAUUGCAGAUGGGGCCAACAUGGUUCAAUGUCGAGUUUCAGGUGCUCAACAUACCAACCUCAUUUAACUUCCUAUUUUGUCCAACCAUGGAUCCAUGCUGUUGGAGCUGUACCUUCCACACUACAUCAAGCCGUGAAGUUUGAAUGGAACCGACAUGAGGUAAUCAUUCAUGGGGAUAGAGUAACCCUAUUUACACUAGUCAAACCAUGCCGGCCAUUGGACAUAGAAGAAAGUUAGGAGGGGAAACAUAUCGUCACAUUGAAUGGAUCAACGACGUCGAGAAGCAUGAAGUGUGGAGUAGUAAAAUACAAAGCAUAUUAGCCUGGUCUGGAUAUGAACCUAGCAAAGGGUUGAUUAAGGAACUUCAAGGUAUCAGUAGACCAAUAUAGCUGAAAAACCAUGGUACCACUUUCGGGCUCGGAUACCAGUACACAUGGAAAGAGUAUAGAAAUUGGUCGUGUCCAUGGUAUGGACUGUAUUACCCUCCUGAGCAACUAGUGCCACCUUUUGAACAAGCUUUUCACCAAGCUGAUACGAUAUGGGGGACUGUGGAAGAAGAAGCACUAGCGAGGUUGAAGAAUUUGUUCUUGGAAGAUGAAGACAUGGACUGUAGUUAUAUAAUUGAGGAGGAGGAGGAAGAAGGCCACACUAUUCAGACCAUGAAGAAGAGAGAUGUUCUAAAAACUUGACUGCCACACCAUCCCAAGCCCGCUUAGUCCUUGGGUGAAUGAACUUACUUCUAUAGCCGCUCAAGGCAUUUAAGAUUUCUAGUAAUUUUUUUUUAAGAUUUACUUGUUUCAAAAUAAAUGCUCGAUUCAUCGAGCCAAGAUUUGUAUGAACGAUUUUCUCAAUUUUAAUCAAAUGCAUUUGUUCUUUGUCAAUAUUCAUUAAUAUUUUUAUAUUUUCCCUCUAUACCAUUAUUAUUACUUUUCCCGAUGAAGUAGUGACUAUGACAUGUAAUGAGGUAACACGAAAUGAGAAUACUGAUUCAGAUGAAGAGGAUGAGAUAUCCAAGGAAAUCGUCAGGGAAGUCGAGAAUUUUGAGAACAAGCCUAAGUCCAACCUGGGCGAAAUAGAAGCAGUAAAUUUGGGAGCUGCCGAGAUCAUCAAAGAGACUCGCAUUAGUAUUUAUUUGUCACCGACAGAGAAAGAAGAGUACAUUCGAUUCCUAAGAGAGUAUAAGGAUAUUUUGCAUGGUCAUAUGAUGACAUGACCAGUUUUAGGACGUCCAUAGUGGCAAACAAGCUACCUCUUAAUCCCAUGUGUCCACCAGUAAAGCAGAAACUCAGAAAGUUCAAACUAGACUUUAGCGUGAAAAUCAAGGAGGAAGUUACUAAACAGAUCAAAGCCAAAGUAGUCAGAGUGGUUAAGUACCCAACUUGGUUAGCUAACAUUGUGACCGUUCUGAAGAAGGAUGGGAAAGUCAGGGUAUGCGUAAACUAUCGAGAUUUAAAUAGAGCAAGUCCCAAGGAAGACUUUCCCCUAACGCGUAAACUAUCGAGAUUUAAAUAGAGCAAGUCCCAAGGAAGACUUUCCCCUACCAAACAUACACAUUUGACUGAUAACUAUGCCAAGCAUGAAUUUCAAUCCUUUGUAGAUUGCUUCGCAGGUUAUCACCAGAUUUGGAUGGAUGAAGAAGAUGUAAAGAAGACAGCUUAUAUUAUACCAUGGGGUAUAUACUAUUAUAAGAUGAUGCUUCAGUUUUAAGAAUGCUCGGGCCACUUACUUGUGAGCCAUGACAACCAUCUUCCAUGAUUUGAUACACAAGGAAAUAGAGGUGUAUGUGGAUGAUGUCAUUAUGAAAUCCAAGAGGGACGCAGAUCACAUAACAAACUUGAAUAAGUUCUUUGAUAGACUAAGGAGGUACAACUUGAAACUGAAUCCCGUAAAGUGUGCAUUCAGGGUUCCCGCAGGAAAGCUAUUAGGAUUCAUCGUCAGUCGUCGAGAGAUCGAGUUGGAUCCAUCAAAAGUCAUAUCUAUUUAGGAUUUACAACUACCCAAGAAUAAAAAGGACGUGAUGAGCUUCAUAGUUAGUCUCAAUUACAUCAGUCUCUUCAUAGCACAAUUCACGGUCAUAUGUGAACCCAUCUUCAAUAUGCUAAGAAAAGAUGUCGAAACAACCUGGACUGAGGAUUGUCAAAAAGCCUUUGACAAGAUCAAGGAAUAUAUAUCCACACCACCAGUGCUGGUCCAGCCAAAACUAAGACGACCUUUGCUAAUUUAUCUGUCUGUACUGGAUGGAGCCUUCGGAUGUGUUCUAGGACACCAUGAUGAGAUAGGAAGAAAGGAGCAAGCCAUGUAUUACUUAAGUAAGAAGUUCACACCUUAUGAAGCACAGUAUUCUCUACUUGAACGCACUUGCUGUGCUUUGACCUGGAUAGCUCAAAAAUUGAGGCAUUACUUUUGUGCGUACACUAUAUACCUCAUAUCGAGGAUAGACCCUUUGAAGUACAUAUUUCAAAAACCCAUGUCGACUGGGAAGUUGGCUAAAUGGCAGAUACUACUAAGUGAAAUCGAUAUUAUCUACGUAACUCAAAAAGAGGUCAAGGGACAAGCAUUGGCAGAUCACCUUGCUAAAAUCUGGUGGGAGGAGCAUACAAGCCUCUACAAAUGUAUUUUCUGAUGAAGAAAUGUCAUUCGUAGGGGGAAGACAUUGACGAAGCAUAUGACAGUUGAAGGAUGUCCUUCGAUGGAGCCAUAAAUUUCAAAGGAUUAGGCAUCGUGGUAGUUUUGAUAUCAGAAAUGGGUCAGCAUUAUCAGGUAUCUGCUAAACUCAGAUUUCCUUGCACCAACAACAUGGCAUAUAUAAAGCUUGCAUACUAGGAAUCGACAUCGCAGUCGACAUGAACAUUCAGGAGCUACUGGUGAUCAGAGAUUCAGAUUUGCUUGUGCACCAAGUACAAGUAGAGUUGGCCAUCAAAAACUCCAAGAUAUUGCCAUAGCUGCACCAUGUGCAAGAAUUGAGAGAGAGGUUCACAAAGAUAGAAUUAUACAGAAUAAGUUUGCCGAUGUAUUGGCCAUUUUGUCAUCAAUCAUACAACAAUCAGAUAAGAAUUAUAUUGAUCCCAUUUCAGUAAAGAUCCAUAAUCAGCCAUCAUAUUGUGCUCACAUUGAAGAAGAAAAAAAUGGGAAGCCUUGGUACUAUGACAUCAAUGAGUACUUAUCAAAAAGAGAAUACCCAGAGCAUGUAAAUCACACUCAGAAAAGCAUACUCUGGAGAUUGUCGAAUUAGUUCUUCCAAAGUGGAGGAAACUUGUACAGAAGAACUCAUAAUUUGGGUUUACUAAGGUGUAUCGACAUGAAGGAAGCUUCAAAGCUACUGGAGGAUGUGCAUGCCGGGACCUGUGGCCCAUACUUGAAUGGUUUCAUCUUGGCUAAGAAAAUACUCAGGGCGGGUUACAAUUGGAUGCCCAUGGAAAUAGAUUGCAUUCAAUGUUCGCAAAAACUUUCAAUGUCAAUUUCACACUGACAAUAAUAAUCUGAUGAAAGCUAUGUGUGAAUCUUUCAAAAUCAAGCACAAGAAUUCCACAACCUACAGACCUCAGAUAAAUAGAGUCGUAGAAGCCGCCAAAAAAAACAAGAAGAUACUAAGUAAAAUGGUAGAGAACCACAAAAAAUGGCAUGGCAUGAGAAGUUAACUUUUGCUUUAUUGGGAUACCACACUACAGUUCACAUAUCAACUGUGGCAACUCCCUACAUGCUGAUUUAUGGUACUGAGGUUGGCAUCCUAACCGAGGUAGAGAUUCCUUCCUUAAGAAUAAUAUGGGAAGCCGAACCCAGUGAUGUAGAGUGGAUAAGGGGUUGCUAUAAAAAAUUUCCCUUAUCGACGGAAAGAUGAUGAAUGCAGUUUGUCACGGCCAUAUUUAUCAAAAUAGAAUGUCCAGAGCUUUCAAAAAAAGGGUCAAACUAAGACAAUUUGCACCAGGACAGCUAGUGCUGAAGUAUAUCCUCCCACAUCAAUAUGAAGCAAAAGAAAAAUACUCUGCCAACUGGAAAGGCUCGUACAUGGUUUACAAGAUACUGACGCGAAGAGCGCUCAUACUUGUAGAAAUGGAUGGAGAAAUCUGGCCAAAACCAAUCAAUUCAAAUGCAAUCAAGAGAUACUAUUCUUAGAUUGUUUACAUUUCCUCAUCUGUUAUAAUUGAACUACGCUUGAACUGAUUCCUGUUUAAGAGGGCAUAUGUAGGAAACCUUAUGUGUUAGUUCAUAUAUAAUAAAAUUUCCAUUUUCCCCAAGCCUAGAGAUCGGGUAGAAUUUUGAAGAGGACCCUCAGAAUUUCGGAGCAAGUCCAGCAACGCCAACAUGUGUCAGACGACCAAUAAUUAGUUAAGAAAGUGGGGCAGAACUGUGUAAAGGAUUCUCAAAAUUCUAAAGAAGAUUCAGAAAGGCCUAUUAUCUGCAAACAGUCAAAAGAUCACCCACUAAACUGGGGAAGAAUUUUGAAGAGGACCCUCAAAAUUUCAACAUAAGAGAGCUACAGUGCCUUGUGAUUUUUACAGUCGCUAAAUAAUCUAAAUGUAUCAAUAUAUUUCUGAGAUAACUCUAUUUUUAUCAAAUUACAUAUUUUCGAAAACUCUAUUUACAUAGCAAUCAGGUGUUAUCCAGGGAAACUCGAAGGGCUUUCAAAAUGGAGCAAAGCAAAGCUAGCUGACAGAGGCACGAACCAACCUCCCCCCUCACCCAUAAAACUUACAAUUUUUCUUUGAACGCGGUUACAUUUUACAUAACGAUAAUAUCUAAAAAUAUAUGCACGCAACAAGAUUAUUAUCAAUCGGUCUGUCAAACACCAAAUAUACAUCUCCUGCUAUGACACAUGCUACUCUUACUUGCUACUUGCUCUUUACAUGAGGCUAAUUCUUGCAGUCAUAUUUACAUGAGGCUAAUCCUUGCCUCCAUAUUUGCAUGAGUCUAAUCAUUGCCGCUAUAUUUGCAUGAGUCUAAUCCUGGACUCCAUACUUGCAUGAGGCUAAUCCCUGCCUCACUAUUUGCAUAAGUCUAAUCAUUGAAAAAUCUAUACUUGUAUGAGGCUAAUCUCUGCCUCCCUGUUUGCAUGAGUCUAAUCCUUGACUCCAUACCUGCAGGAAGCUAAUCCCUGCCUCCAUAUUUGUAUCAGUCUAAUUCUUGACUCCAUACCUGAAUAUGGCUAAUCCUUUCCUUACUAUUUGCAUGAGUCUAAUCCUUAACUAUAUACCUGCAUGAGGCUAUUCCAUGCCUCGAUAUAUGUACGAGGAUAUUCCCUGCCUCGAUAUCUGCAUGAGGCUAAUCCCUGCUUUCCAAUUGCAUGUCUAAUCCCUCCAUAUAGUAUGAGGCAAAUCACUGCCUCCCUACUUCCAUGAGUCUAAUCCUUGAUCCUUACCUGCAUGAGCUUAAUCCAUACCUCGAUAUUUGCAUGAGUCGCAUUCUCGACUCCAUACUUGCAUGAGGCUAACCCCUACCUCCCUAUUUGCACAAGGCUAAUCCUUGCCUCCCUACUUGCAUGAGAUUGUUCAUAGUCCCUUUUCGCACAAUUUUUCUCUAUUUUUAGCACUAUCUAUUUGCUCUUCUAUCUCUAAGCUCUACCCUCCAUUUUGAAAGACAAAGCCUUGUUUUGUCAACAUCUUAUUACUACAUAUCAUGGGCGGAAAUAUUGCCAAUCUAUCCAAAUGCAUCAUAGUAUAAAGGCAUCAUCCUCAUAGUCGGAAGACACCAUGUCAUGGCCAAGGGAUCUCUCAAAUCUCCAUAUCAUUAUUCAAAUUUAUCACGGUUCGGAGGUACCAUCUUCAUGGCCCGAGAACAUCAUUGCAUGGCCUGUGAAUACCUCACUAAAAAAUUCAUGGCCCAGUAUUUCAUGGUCUAAGGAUGCCAUCUUUAACUGUCCAAAGACAACCUUCAUGGUCCAAAGAGAAUUUGUAUCAUGUUUAAAUUUUCGCACAAAUACAGAUUUGUAGCAUCUCUUAUCUUAAAGUAACCAGUAAGCCACCACUACCCUAGCAGGGGCGAUCUCGCUCUAGUUCUUCCAAUGCUACUGAGCCUUAACCACUCACUAUAGCUGUUUCGGCAUCGUGUGUCUGUUCUUGUAAUAAUUUUACUGGCAUAUUCCACAGAUGAAUCCAGAACUACACAUGGCUUGAUUCCUGUAAAACCAUGGAUAUUUAGGCAGCUAGAGGGCUAGAGUCUGGCCCCUGUCUUUCAAAGCAUCCUGUCAGGUCAAAAUUAACCAUCAUUUUUUUAACCGAAAACUAUUUCAUCCUUCCCGGGUAAAGAGAGGUAGUUGUUGAUUCCGAUUUUUUCCUUAUAUAUUAUAAGUAUGCAUAAAUACUUCAAAAAUAGCAUAUAUAUGCAAUAUGUAAUCAUACUCACAAUUUUUAUAAUUUUCUAUAAUUUUAAAGAUCUUUAAUUGAUUUAUUUCCUCCCUUUUACUCAUAGGGUUAAAUUGUCUAUUUAAAACUUAGUCAAAUUGUAUUUAAAUUUUAGCCUAACUAAACCCGAUACCUAAGCCCAAUUUAAUAUUAAACCACCCGAUCUAGACCCUAAAUACACCUACCCGACCUAGAACUCAUCAGAUCAUGACCGUUGAUCUAGAAGAUCAACGUCCCAUAUUGAUUCUUUCCUUUUUUAAUUUAAAAAAACCCCUAACCCUAAUCAUUUUCUGUAUACCGACGCCCUAAAAUCCACUGUACUCUCAAUACACUCUCGACCUAAUCCUAGACCUUCAGCUGUCGACCUCCGAUCUCCGGUCAUCUUCGGUGACCUCUCAUCGUCUCCUACGCCUCCAAUGGCUUCUCUCAUUCCAUGCUUGCCUUCUCUAAGGUCCUCAAGGGUCAUCUUCUACCUGUUUGUGGCUAUUCCAGUGUGAUUUCUAGCAAAAUCAUUCUGUAUUUAUUACGAUCCUUGGAAUUCUAGACAGGUUUGAAACCCUAAUUUCUUUUCUAUACCUGUUAGAUAUGUACAAAUCUAAGAUGAUUUGAGUUUUGCCUUUAAUGUUUUACACUAUCGUUGAGAUUCUAUACAAGAAUCGUUGAUUUUAAGUGUUUUUCACCGACUUCUAAAAACUAGGGUUUCAAAACAUCUUUUUAAAACCUUGUUUAAUUGAUUAUUUGUGUUUAAACUUCUAUUUCUAGUAUUAUUUUAACUGACUCUAUUAUUUUACUAUAUAUUUAACUCGUCUAUGUUGAAAGCCCUAAUUUUCUAGGUUUCUUCAUUUAGUUCUGUGUAUCAGCAUGACUGUCCGGUUCUCGUUUGAGUUUAUGUGACUGUCUUACCUUGAAAAUGUUUCUACUGAGUUUCUUAGCCUAACUUACAUCAACUCUAUGUGCUUGUGUUCAUCUUGACUGUUCAAGACUUGCCUCUUUCUAUCAGUGAUGUUUAACCUUCAUGUUUGCUAGAAUUGUAUGUCGAUUUUUUUACUAUCCAUGUCUUACUUUAUUUAUAUGCUAAACACUGACUCAUGACUUUUUCUUUGAUUGAUUCCGGAUCCCCUCUUUCUUUUUUUGAUCGGAAGACUUUCCUGUAAACCUUCGAUUUCUACCUUUUCUAUUCAAUUUGAUUGACUUGCUUACCUUAUCUGCAUUGGUACUUGAUUCUUACUGACCAUCUCCUUAAUAAGAGUUUUCUGAACUUAGCGCUAGUUGUUUACCCUAUAAUUACUAUAUUAGAAAUCUUUCCUUAUUAAUUGUACAUUAAUUUAUUUCCUUAUUUGCUAUUUAACUCUUUAAUUAAGGGAAGUACUUACAUUGAUUUGAUUCUAAUUAGUAAAUGGUUCUAUAAUUAUUUUUGAACUUAGAUUCUUUCCUUAUUUUUACAUGUUUUCAAACUAUAAAUACUUACUCAUUCAUUACUCAUUCAUUAACACAUACUUGCUCCUGCCUUGAAUAAUCUGGCUGGGAGCUAAGGCUAAUUAUUGUGCUCUCCUAUCCUCAACUUUGUGUUUACUAUCUUCUUUGCUGGUAUGUUCUGAUAUUAAUUCAAGUUUCAAAAUACAAAAUUUUUCUUUUACUACUUUAGUCCAUCCCGCUUCUAGUAUGUUUCUAUCUAUGGUUUUGUUAUGCAGCCUGCAGUUGAGAUGCUUUUUUUCUAUCUAGUUAUGUUAUGUACUACCCCCAUUAGGAUCAGCAUGCUUAUGAAAUGUUACCCCCCUCACCCCUUUAUAGUAUGUCUCAAUGUGACUCUAUCCCAUUUUAUGUUUAACAGGUUUUGGUAUGAACCUUUCUUUGUCAAAACAAGUCGUACCUUAAGUUACUUGUUCUGUGUUAGUUCUUAAGCUCAUACUGUACUCUAAUCCAUGAGCUCCCAUUGAAUACUUCUCAUUCUGUAGCUAAGUGCCCUUCUGUCUGUUAUGCGUUCACUACAUAUGCUUUAUAUGUCCCCAAUUCCCAAUUGACCCGGUUUGAAGAUUUGUUCCCUGAGUGUUUGCUAAACUUAUUUGACUGACCUGCUAUUUUUUUAUUUACAUAAAUGUUCUCAAAAGGUGUUUUAAUAAACAACCCUCUUAUUUACAAAACUAUUUCAACUUAGUCUCUUUCACACUACUUUCCUGCUAAAAACCUUUUGAAACUAUUUCAAGCACUCACUCUACUCCUAAAUUUCUAGGUUCUGCCCCCUCCGGUGUGUGUACUUCCUUGGGAGCCUUCUGAGGUCCCUCUGAACUCUGGCACACUGAGGUUGGCCCUUCCACACCGCACUUACUCAAUUUGGUUACAAAGUCUAGGUGUGAGUAUCGGGAUCCUUGAGAUCCUCAGGGAACUCUGACGCACCUAGACAAUGACAUUGUCUAUGAAACUAACAUUUGAGGCUAUUAGAGGUUUGGGAAAUCACUUGAGCUUGCUUUAGACUCCAUAUAGUGUAACUUCUUCUCGUUCUUUAUGUAUGUAAUUCAUUCAUCUAGUUUGUAAUAAUUUGUAACAUGAAUAUUGGGGUGAUUAGUAAAAAGGGGUGUGUAAUUACAUAUUUGUGGGAUAAUAUUGGUAGAAACCAUGGAUAUAGGAUUUUAUAUUUUAUAUGUCUGCCCUACCAUAUUAGAAACCAUGCCGAAAUGAUUUUAUAUAUUUUCUAUGUCUGUCCUACCAUAUUAGAAACUAUACCCGUAAAAUUUUUACAUAUUUUCUAUGUCCGCCUUACGAUAUUAGAAACUAUGCCUAUAUGAUCAUUUAAUAUAACUGUUAUGUUUGCUUAACCAUGCUGGAAAUUCUUUCUAUAGGGUUUAAAUGGUUCCAAAUAAUAGAAAUCAUGUCCAUAGAUUUAAAAAUCAACUUCACAAAUAGAUACCAUACAUAAGCAUGUGAUCAAGUUCAAGUUUCUAUUCCAAUGGGUAUUUACAUUUGUUUCCACUAGAAAUCAUGCCUUUAAGUUUCUAAUGUCAGAUCUUAACAACUAGAUAUCAUGUUUAUAGGGAACAACAUCAGAAAUUCUGCCUAUAGAUCUAAAGUCAAUUUAGCUUAAAUAAGUCAGUCCAAUUCAUGUUAGUUUACUUUGAAACUAGUCUAAUUAGUGGUUUGCUUUCCUUAAAUGAAUCCUUUCAAGAUCUGUCCUAAUUUACUAUUAGAAAGCAUGCCUAUAGGAAUUCAAGACUCCUUUUUAAAAUCUGCUUGUUGUUUUACUACAUCAAACGUAGCUAUCAUGUUAUUAGGACAUCAUUGUUCUGCGUUUAGGCAAUCAUAUAGGGCGGUUUUUCAAAUUCUACAAACUGUAUAUCUAAUACUUGAAGUUGUUCAGAUUUAACAGGUUAAAAUCAUUAGGAAAAUGAUUUGGGCCUUACUACUGAGUUUAUGAAAACAAUGUUGCAUGUUUCUGUGCAUUGACAUCCACUUAGACGUCCCGUUUAGGCUUUUUCUCUAAAUAAAAAACUGAUCUUGUUGUAUUUGAAUGUGCUGCCUAUGUGUAUUACUUGUGGAGGUACACCUGGGCCUUUUAGUUGUCUCUUUUUGUCUUUAACCGUUAAGUCCUAUGUUUAUUGCAUGUCGCCUACAAUUUUCUCCUUUUUAAGCACCUUAGGGGUCGUCUUGAACUGCCUAGAUUUAGAUGUCCUAAAAUUCCUCCAGGGCCACAAGGAAGGGAUGGGUAGUGCAUGCAUAGGCAUUUUCAAUGUUACUAGAACACUUUAGGCUAUGACCAAGGGGAGGGAUUUGAGUAGAACGGGAUAUGAUGACUACGCGCUAAUGUCACGUGUAGCCCCUUAUUGAGGAGUUUUUACCGGGCAUUGCAUGGGGUGAUCCUGUAGGCUUACUAACCUAGGACGCCUCUUUUCAUAAACCCUUCGCUUUACUUUCCUAUAUGUACACAAUCAUUGUCCUAUUAUUUGAGUCAUACUAUGUCCAAUGUGCUUUAUUUGCAAUUAUUUUUUUCAACUACUUUUCUGUUGAAGGACUAAUUCAUAAAUAUAAGUUCAGUUGGGACCACAGUUGUUGACCGAGAGGGGUGCCUAACACCUUCCCCUCAAGGUUAUUUUGUGUCCAUUCCUUAAAUCUCUAGUAAUGCAAACCAAUCCAAGGGUUAAUCGUUGUAGGUGCCCUAACGCACCAUAGUCCAUUAGGUGGCGACUCUUCAAAAUAUCCAAUUCCCAAAAGAAAAUGAGUUACUAACUCCCCCUCAAUAAAUAUUGAAACCCGAACCUUUUCUUCCCCGCAAAAAAGGAAAGAAAAAAAGGGACGCGACGGCUGCUCAAAGGAUAGGACUGGAAAUACAAUCAAUCUUCAUUCACUAAAAAGCGUUGCAAGGAGAGAGUGUACCCAUUUGAAAAUGGUUAAUAAAGGGGUAUGCUCUAGGAGUUGGAAUUGUUUUUUAAGGAAAUAAGGUGGAAUGCUUGUCCAGGAUACUCACAAUCUCAAAUCCUUUGACUGCUAAGGUAUUGUUGUAGCGAAAAGACACAAGAGUACGUAUAUUGUUGUCAUUGAGCUUAUGCAGAGUGGAGACAUAAGUUGGUUGGAAGCUAUUGAAAAUAAUACAUAAAUCGUGGGACAAAAGUCUAGAGCAUUUCAUGUUGUCUAUCUCUAAACAAACUAGAUCUGAAGAACCUAGUUCAUGGUCUGAUCAAGUUGAGUAAAAGGUAUCAUGAAGUGCGCAACGCUUGUGCAAAAGAAAAGCAUAUUAGAUCUUCAUUCAAGCCCAAAAAAGGGCAGACAACACUUCAAAACCAAGGAUGAGAUCGUUCGAUAAAAUGUGGUUUUGUUCAAGAAGAUCCAGGUACAAAUAGAAACAGAUGUGGCUUGCAUCAGACUAAAUCAUGGAACAGGUUUGGACAAUGCCAUAAGCGGACGAAUGAUAUGUUGAAAUUUGCUCAAAGAACACCACCUCAGAUAGAGUUGUUGAAAAUAAGAAAAGGACUGUUGAAAAUUUGGUCACGGAAAAAUACUAUUGCUCUUUUACAGCUCUGACAAAAAAAUGAGCGACUAUAGAGAGAAACUUGCGAUCUUGCUGCCAUGGCCACGACAGCCGGUGGCCAUCCCUCUUCUCCGGCUGGUCAGCAUCCCUCCCACCCUUGCCCGGACUUCUUCUACAAUGAACAAUAAAGCCCCUAAAUUACUCAAAAUAUUAAAACCUAGAACAAUUAAUGCUGCCAUGCACGAUCGUUCUGUUGAUUCAAUUCCCAUGCGACGAGCAGCUAUUUUGAAUGGGCAACAUGUUGUCAAGUUUACUGAAGCAGAAGUAGAGAGAAUGAAAGUUAUUGAACGAUUACAAUAUGUAGAUUUGAAUGAAAUCCGUCAUAUUAUUCCUUCUCAAUGUGGAAUUAAAGGAGAAUGUAGCAUUGGAUAUUUCAGAGAUAGACAUGUCCUCAUUCGAAUGACAUUAUGGCAGAACUUUGCUGAUUCCAUAUCGAAAGGAGCUCAAUAUGUUAAAGAUAAGUAUGGCCAUGAAUAUCAGAUUCGUCUAUUGGUUUAUGAUGUUAAGUUUAAAGUUGGAGAGGAGACUCCAAUGGCAAUGGCAUGGAUAUCUUUCCCUGGUCUAUUACCCACUUAUUUUGUAAAAGAAUGCCUCUUUUCUCUUGCUUCAACUGUUGGAAAACCUAUUCAACUGGAUAUGGCAAUAGUUAAUAAAAGGACGCCUAGUUGUGCAAGGGUUAAGGUACUUGUUGACUUAACGGCUGAUCACCCUAGCAAGGUAAGAAUGGAUAUUUUUAAUGAAACAUCAGGAGAAAUAAGGAAUAAGUAGGUUAAUAUUAAGUAUGAUAUGAUGCCUAAAUAUUGUAAAGAGUGUAAGUUUCGAGGCCAUGAUGAGUUUGAGUGUUGGAGACUGCACCCAUAGUUAGUGGUUCACAAUGAUGAAAAAUAGGCUGGAGGGGACAAGCGUAAUUCUAAGGAACAAAAUAAACAACCAUUGAUGAUUUUGUCUAAUGGAAAGGUUGUUGGAAAUGUUGGAGAGUAAUGGAAAGAAGUGAGGGAAAAUCGAGUGAAGAAUGAUGCACAACAAACUGUAGGACAAGGUCAAACUGGUAAGGAGAUUGUCCCAGUUGAUGCAAAAAGUACUCAGCAGGAUCAGACAAGCGAGGAUGUUCAUCAUACCAAUGAGGUAACCGAUAAUGAAUUGUACCAGUUAGUGGAUUUAAUCAACAAAGCAUUGUGAACAAGGGGAAGAAUAUUAUUCUAACAAAUCUUAGGAGCAGUAGAAUAAGGUGACUAAUAGAAACGAUAUGGUUCAAAAUGAUACAUGUAAUAAUCAGCAAGUUGAGAUAGCUAAUAAGUUUGAAGCACUUGAGGAAUAUGAUGAUGAAGACAACGAUCAGUUGAUGGAGAUAGAACAAAAGUUCUAUAGCAAGAAGUCCUACUUUAGUUGGGAUUUUAAAUCCUAAGGUAGCUACAUUUACUCUUAUGUCAACAUGUUUAGGAAGCACUACAAAGAAAGAUAAAAAAAUUAAAGAGAGUAGGAACAUAAUAGCUGGUAGGUUGCAAAAAGAAUCUACAGCAGCAUGGGUGAACAGAAUAUUUGCAGUAAUUUUGGUGCAACUAAUCAAUCAUGCCAGGAAAUUCCCUCACAGGCAACUGAAGUUGAUACAACAGUUAAAGAGGUCAAUGCUAAUGACAGAUUACAACUUAGUGGUGGAAAACUGUGGGAUGCUCAAACAGAAGACGACUUAGAGGAAGGUGAACUACCUGAACGUGUCAGUAGUGAGGAGGAGUCAUCAGAUGAGGAAAAGGAUCAAGAAGAACAAAGUGAUAAUGGCAAGGCUAAUAAGGAAUGCCAGAAAUCAGAUCCUAAAGGUGGAACAUUUAAAGAAACUAUAGCUGAUCAAAGAGAAGAUACACAUGGAAUCAUUCAAAAGAAGGGAAUUGCAGGAGAUCAACCUGGCCAAAAAAUCAUCAGUUGUAGUACUAAUAAAGAGCUACCACCAGUUAAGCCUAACAUAGAACAAGAUAUUCCGAUUGCAGUAGCUGCAGGAACUAAAGGUUCUAAGACAAAUGUAGAAGGUAAAGGAACUAGAGGAGAUCAUGAGAAGGACAAUGAGGAUACAACAAGUAAUCUUGUCAUCAAUGCAGGAUUGAAUCAAUCAACAAAUGGUGAAAGGAAGAGUGACAUACACAAAAGUUUGAGUUCAUGUCCAAUAGGAAAUCAAAUUGCAGAACCAAUAGAGAACAAGGGUAAUGAAGAUAAUAUGGAAGGCAAGGGAAGAGAUCUAGAUGCUGAAUCUACUUUUCAAAACUUCAAAAAUAUUGCAAAACAAGGUGACGUAUCACCUAGGUAUCUUGAUAAGGGUAAAUUAGCUGGAAGAGGUUAGAAGAGAAAACAAAAAGAGAAUAAUCAAAGUGCGGUUCCUGGGGUCCAAACAAGAAAUACCCUACCUAAAUCUCAUAAUUAAUGAUGAAUGCCAUUAUUUGGAAUAUGAGAUCAGUAAAGAUAAUACAAGCAUUUAAAAGGCUUAUUACAAUGCAAAGACAACGCCAUUUUAAGUUCACAGGAGUUAUGGAACCAAAGCAGAAAAAGAAGAAAUUGGAAAGAUAUAGGAGGAUGAUAGGAAUGUUACAGGCUUUUGCAAAUGUAUCUAACAAAAUUUGGGUAUUUGUGGAUGAGGAUCAUAGAGUGGAUAUUAUAUAUGACCUUGAGCAAUAGCUGAUCUUGAAGCUUGCAAACCUGGAUACUCAUAUAUCUUUCAUGAUUACUUUUGUGUAUGCCAAAUGUGACCCCAUUGAAAGAAUAGAAUUGUGGGAUAGUCUGUAUUAUAUGGCCAGUGAUAUGUCAUUGCCUUGGCUUGCGGGGGGGGACUAUAAUGUGAUAUAGGAUGAAGAGGAGAAGUUUGUUGGUCUACCUAUGUCAUUGAACGAGAUCAAUGAUUUUAGACAGUGCAUUACCACUUGUAACCUCAAUGAUCUGGGCUUUAAAGAGAGUAUCUAUACAUGGUGGAAUGGGAGAGGGAAAGAGGAUUGUAUAUUUAAAAGGAUGGAUAGAUGUUCUGGGGAAUAUGGAAUUGCAGCAGAUGUGGCCUAAUCUAGAGGUUACUCACUUGUCUAAAACUGGAUCUGAUCAGAGUCCAAUAUUAUUGCAGUAUAAUCCAAAUGCUACACCAAUCAAGAAAUCUUUUGUGUUUUUAAACUUCUGGUGGCAACAUCCAACCUUCAAAGGAGUAGUAAAAGAAAAUUGGAAGACUGACUUUAUAGGAGAUCCCUUUUAUGUAUUCAAUAGUAAGUUAAAGAAGCUGAAAAAAGCUUUAUCCCUAUGGAGCAAGGCAACAUAUGGAAACAUAUUCUAGAAAAUCUCUAGUCUUGAGGAGGUAGUACUAGUCCAUGAAGCACAGUUUGAGAGGGCACCUACAUAUUAGAAUAGAGAAAAACUGCAGAAAGUAAAGGCUGAACUAACUAGAUUUUUAGCAUUGGAUGAGGAAUUUCGAAAGCAAAAAUUAGGGAUGACAUGGUUUAAAGAUGGGGACAGGAAUGCUAAUUUUUUUCAUGCUCAAGUCAUGGUAGAAGAAGAAGAUUGCAAGUGAAAAUGAUGCAAAAUUGUAAUGGUAGUUGGUUAGAGGACGACAGUGAUAUGGCAAAUGAGGCAGUCAGAUUUUUUAAGACUCAGUUCCAUGAAGAAUAAGCUCCAACCUCCUUUGAAAUACUAGAACAUAUACCAACGCUGGUUGACAAUGUGCAUAACUUGGAGCUGAUUAAACAACCAACCUUUGAAGAGGUAAAACAAGCAGUGUUUGGACUAAAUGGGGAAAGUGCUAGGGGCCCUGAUGGUUUCACAGGUUAUUAUUUCCAUACUUGUUGGGAAAUAAAAGCUGAUGAUAUUGUUGAUAUAGUUAAGGCAUUCUUCAAUGGGUCUGAAAUUCCCAGAUAUGUGACACAUACUAAUUUAGUUUUGUUACCAAAGAAGAAAGAGGUGAUUUCAUUAUCAGAUAUGAGGCCUAUUAGCCUUAGCAAUUUUGUCAAUAAGAUCUUCUCUAGAGUGGUCUAUGAAAUAUUAACAGUUCUGCUGCCAAAUAUUAUAUCUGAAGAGCAGACUGGUUUUGUAAAAGGCAGGAGUAUUGUAGAAAAUGUUCUUCUAACAUAAGAAACCCUUACAGAUAUUAGAAUGAGAACAAAAUAUGGGCCAAAUAUAGUGAUUCAAUUGUACAUGGAAAAGGCCUAUGAUAGAUUAUUAUGAUAAUUAUUAACUAAAGUAUUGAGGAAGAUGGGCUUUGGGGAAAGGUUUAUUGGUCUGGUAUAUGAUAUAAUCUCAAAUAAUUCGUAUUCUAUUCUACUUAAUGAGCAGCCUCAUGGACUUUUCAAAUCUACGAAGGGGGUAAAGCAAGGUGAUCUUGUAUCACCUACUUUGUUUAUAUUGGUUGUUGAGGCAUUAUCAAAGGGGUAUGAACUCAUUGCAUAAUAACCGGCACUUUUGUGGUUUUGGACUGCCCAAGUGGAGUCCCAAGAUCAAUCAUCUCGCAUAUCCAAAUGAUACAACCAUUUUUUCUUCUUCUGAUGCAAUAUCCUUGAGGUUGAUCAUGGAAACUCUAGCAGGAUAUGGGAAGGCUUCUGGAAAAUUUAUAAAUAAGAGCAAGUCUACCAUCUAUUUACACCAUUUAGUAGGGAAAGAAGUAGUGGACAAGGUACGAAGAAUAAUAGGUAUUUCCAAGAAUGAGUUCCUAUUUAAAUACCUUGGUUCCCUAUUUUCUACUCUUGAAGAAGGAUGAAUUACUAUCAGGGACUCAUAACUAAGGUAAUGGACAAGCUGCAAGAUUAGAAAGGGAAGUUGUUAUCGAUAGGGGGAAGGGCAGUACUGAUAUCUCAUGUACUUCAGAGCAUGCCAAUACACUUGGUGUCCUUAGUCAAUCCCCCAGCUUAUAUGAUUAACAAAUUGUAGAUAAUGUUUUCCCAAUUCUUCUGGAGUAACAUAGUAGGCGUAUCAAAUAGGCAUUGGGAUUCAUGGAGUACAUUAUGCAUGCCUUGUGAAGAAGGAGCAUUUUAGAUCUCUACAUGAUAUAUCCACAGCCUUGUUUUGCAAACUUUGGUGGAAUUUUAGAACUCAACCUAAUUUGUGGAUUGCAUUUAUGAGUCAGAAAUAUUGCAGUAAGUUAAAUCCUAUGAUUGUCCCUUGGGGAUAUGGUUCUCAUGUUUGGAGAAAAAUGCUAGAGUGUAGAGAUAUCAUUGAACAUCAAAUAUUGUGGCAGCCUAAAAUGGGAACCUCUCUAUUCAGGUUAGAAAAUCCCGCAGGUUUGGGAUCACUCUAUUUUGUUACCCCUCCUAAUUUUGUGUGUGAUGAGUCAAUACAAAACAUAUAUGAUGUGGUAUACUAUGGUCAAUGGAAUGAGGAGAAGAUAAAAGAGAUUCUACCAGAAGAAUUAGCAGAACAUAUCUUACAGCAUAUGAAGCCUCCAGUUAUGAGUGAGGGCAUUGAUAAGCCUUGUUGGUGCUAGAAUCUAGUUUUGAAUUCACUGUGAAAUCAGCUUGGGAAUAUCUGAGAAGGAGGAAUGACCCUGGAAAUACAUAUAGAAAUAUAUGGGUGAAAGGUCUUCCUAUUAAAAUCUCAUUUUUCAUGUGGAAAGUGUGGAGGAAUAAACUACAUUUGGAUGAAUUUUUUAAAAGAUUGGGUUACCUUAUAGCUUCUAAAUGCUAGUGCUACUCUGAAUCACAGAAGGAGACAAUGCAACAUUUGUUCUUCACAUCAUAUGUAGCAACCAAAGUAUGGAAGUACGUUUUUGGACAUGCAUGUAUUACACUAGAAGGAAUUUCAUUAAAUCAGGCUAUUGUAAAAUGCUGGACUGCAGAUGUUAUACCUAGAGUUAAACCUAUAAUGCAAGCAUUACCUUCUGUCAUUGGGUGGCAGCUUUGGAAGAGGAGGAACAGAGAUAUACAUGGAGAUACUGUAACAGUAAAUAGGGUUAUAUAUCAUGUGUCCAGUACUAUGCAAUCUCUUGUGAAAUUCAGAAAGCCAAACCUGCAGAACGUGCCAUAUACAUGGCUAGACCUUCUGUACAUAUUGGAGUCUUAUCUUCCUAAAUUGAAGUAUGCUAAUGUGUUAUGGGAAUGUCCAAAUUCAGGAUGGAUAAAGGUGAACACAAAUGGGGCAUCAAGGGGAAAUCCUGGGAGGAGCUCAAUAGGAUAUGUGAUAAGAAAUGAAGAGGGAGAUCAAGUAUAUGGCUGUGGAAAAGAAUUGCAUGAAGGAAUAAAUACAGAAGCUGAAGUUAAAGCUAUACUUGAAGAAAUGAAGUUUUGUGUUAGAAAUGAUUAUAUACUCAUUGAAUUUCACACUGAUUUAAUGAUACUUAAGCAUGUUUUAAAUGGGUAAUGGGAUGUACCAUGGAACAUAGCAGAGCAGGUGGAGGAGAUAAAGGAACUAAUGAGCAAAAACAAUGUAACAAUGGCUCACACUCUGAGGGAAGAAAAUAGAUUAGCUGAUCAUUUAGCUAAUUAUGCCUUGGAAUUUGGAGGUAUUGAAACAAAAAAAAUUUGGGAGCUAGAUAUACAAGGAAGGAAUAUAGUAAAUGAUGAUAAGUCACAAUGCCCAUAUAACAAAAUAAAAGUUGCAGGAAACUAGAAGGAGAGGGGGCAACAAGGUGGAGAGGUGGUAUGCUGGCAAUUUUAGUGAUAUAAUAAGAGUGUCAUAUUCAAAUAAGGGUUUAGGAGAAUAUAGUCAGUUCAUUGGAUUGGCUAAAUAUGGGAUCAGGAGGAAAAAUCAUCCACUAUGGUCGAAUCCUUAUGGAGGAGAUCAUAGGAAGAAGUUUUAUAUCUAACAAUUUUUUCUUUUUUGCAGGUGAUGCUAGUGUGUCCAUGAGUUCUCUAUUGGUAAAUCAUCCAUGGGUGGUAUUAGCACAAUGUGCUCAACCCCAGGAUAAGAUAUCAGUAAGGAAUAAAAGUAUGGACACAUGGAGGAUUAUCAGUAGGCUGCAUAUCAUUCUCUAUUGGAAUAAAGUAUACAUGAGACUGCGCAGAAGUUAUGCAUUAGUUGCAAAGCAAUGCAGAGGCAGUAUGGAGCCCAUAAAAUAAAAAAAUGUGGGCUAUACUUACAGAUAGUCAGGAAAUGAGAUCUGCAGCACAAUUCUAUGCUGUAGAAUACAAGAUCCAAAUCAUUUGGGAGGAGAAAAUGAUGGUAUUUGAUUUUUCUAACUUGGUGAUCCUUUUUGCGGAUGAAUCUAUUUGACAUGUGCAUUCGUACUUGCUGCAACUUUCAAGGGUGGUAUUAGUUAUUUUCGCUCAUCCCCCUAAAGGAAUAGCUAUAGCAGGCAUAAUCAUAGGCAUAAUCUCCAAAUAUGAUGAAAAGAUAGUUUUAUCAAAGAAGGAGCAGGGCAAAUGGUACUUAAAAAAGGCAGAAUUAAGGGAUAAUUUUAAUCGAACAUCAAAGGCCAUUGUUGUGAGUCUGACUAAUAAUUUUAUAUAACCUCAAAGGGUGGUUUUAGCACCUAGUGUUCAUUCCCUUUGGGAAGUAUCAAAAGUAAGCAAUAGCAGAAAGAGACUGAUGGCUAUCACUACAACUGGAUCAAGACGUGCAUAUAAUACAGAUCAUUUAAGGCACCAAGCAAAGGCACAGGAAAAUAAAUUAUCAGAAGAGUUUACUGCAAACUUGGGUUAUAGAUGGAUACAACUUCAAAGGGUAGUAUUAGCACGUAGUCCUCAUUCCCGUGGAGAAGUACCAAAUUUAAGCAAAAGAUGCAGGAAAGUAGAACCAACAACUUUUAAAGAUGGAACUAGGCACAUAUGCUGACAUGGUUAGUCUUAGUAUUAAUAUUAAUGAUGUCAACAACAAGUAAUUGGAAGUCACAAGAAGCAGAUAAACAAUGAAGCAAGUGGAUGCAGAAAUGGACAAAAUGUGGACAUGCCUCAUAUUGGACACGAGUUUUAAACUCAAGGGAUACAAAUUGGACUAUAUUGUUAAUGCAAAUUGAUAAGAAGACAUAUGUGGAAGGAUUUCAUGCAGCUAGGACAAAGAGAACUGGAACAGGAAAUUACUUCAAAUGGAAAAAAACAUUGACAUCAGCACAACAAAGGGCAUGAAUCAAAUCGAACAACUGGAAUGAUAUGGACAUACUCAUGAACUGCAAAUCAUAUUGGGAGGGCAUAACAAUUAUCUGGGCAAAGAAAAUUGAGACUCAAGCUUCAAGAAGGAGAGCAACAAAUCAAUAAACUAACACUGGUUACCAACAUGCAACACCAAGCAAGUUACGUCAGAGGGUUUCAAAGGCUAAUUGUUAGCAUAUGUAAUAACACUAGAAUUCAUUAUGAUAUUAGGGUAGAUGUAGGCAUCAAAGUUCAUUUGUUACAUUUUGUAAGAUCUCCAGACAUGCUUGUUUUUUUAUUUUAAAAUAUUUAUAAAACAGCCCUAGGCACAUAGCCUAGUGGAGUUUGCUUAAAAAAUAAAUGAAGGAUUAGCAAACAUCUUGACUAAAUUUCUGACUCAAGAGAGGAUAUCUGAGUAUAACUAUUAUGUUCUCAACAAUGGGAAGGGUCAGCCUUGAAAAUCUGAUGAUAGAAAAGAUAGAGUAAUCCUCAUGACUUACUUGUAUCAAAAGAGAAUAGAAAUACUAAUCAAGGUAAAGAAUGCCCACUGAUUCGAGCUAGGAACAAGGCCCCACAUCUACAACACCAGAAGCGGAAAAUCAAAUUGUUGGAAAGAAGGCUUUUGCAUAGAGACAUCACUUUAUCACCCAUGUAUCUCACUACAAGUAGACUAGACAUCAUGGUAAAAGCUGAGUUCUGUUGAAGGUCUCAGUUAAAUCAAAUGUAUUCUCAUAUGAAGGAUAGUGUAAGUAUCUUGAGGUAUCCUAGUAGAAUACUAAUUUUGGUUCUCUAAUGUCAUCCAAGUAAAUGGAUAAGAAAAGUUCGCCUAAAUUGGGAUAGUAUUUGAGUUCCUAUCUUGUCUCAUAAGGCUCAAUGAAGCAGAAUUCAAUGGCACUCUUAACAGCUAAAGCAGAAUAGGCAUAAUCAAUAUCCUACAAUGGUCAAGUACUAUGGAACAAGCAACAAAGUACAAUAGACCAAGAAACAAAUUGGAAGACCUGAGUCCAACUCAAGAGGGUCCCUGGGAAGAAAACAUUCUAAAAACAAUCGUGUUGCACUGGGGAUGAUGAAACACAACUAAGAACAUGGUUCUUCAUUAUUGGUUAUGAAAGUCAUAGUUAGGUAAAACCUAGCUAAAUUGUUUUCUAGCUAAGUAUAACUCAGAUCUUUACCGUUACAGGUAGAUACACAUGAUGACUAUAGAAGCAGAUGCUGCAGUGCAUGAUGAAUAAGGGGACAAAACUCACUUGCCAGACCUAUCAAGAAACCUAGUUCUCUAACACAGGUUAGUGGUUUCUUGGUUCUUUCAUACACAAUUUAAAAUGAACUAAAAAAAUAAUGCCAUAUCAUCAUCAACGUGACAUACUCUUUAAAGUAGUGUCUCUUUGUCUGAUACGUCAUAACCCAAACGUCACUCAUUUCUCUAAACGAUAUAUCUCCAAGGCAAAAGGGUGUUACCAUUUCAGAACGGGGGCCUCAUCAUAAUUAAAUCAACAACACAACUCUUUAUCUUCCAAACUCAAAAUUCCCUGUUUGUCUUCUCUCUUCUCAAAUCCACACUCCCUCGAGAAUUCUCAGCAUGCCUGAAAAUAAGCAACCGUUAGUAUGCCUGAUAAAACUGUGACUAAGUCCUCACCAGUGAGAAUUCCAGCAAAGGACCUCUCUCCAAACCCUUAAGAAGAGUUUCCUCCACACUCCACUACCUUUGCCACCCUCUCCGAGUCCACUCCUCUAUGAAAGUAUGAAGAUGUUUGUCCUCAUCCAUUCUCACUGGUCAAACAGAGUCAAUAGAGUGAACAAAGAAACCUCGUUUAGGAACCUUCUAGUUUUCUAUGGCUAAGAACUUGAUGUAAAGAACAUGUGACUAGUCAUGAAGAGACUGAAAUCUCUUGGACAAGUGAUGACUUAGAAGGCAUCACUCCUUCAUCUAUUGAAAUCACCAUGGAACCACAAGAAAAUAAAGAAAUAGAGAAUAUGUUUUACAUUACGUCAUAAGAGGUCAUUAUAGAGGAAUGUGCAAGAGAGUCUGAGCCUCAAAGGGAAGAAAUAGAAGAAGAGGGAGCAAUUGUGCCAUUUGAUCAGCCGGCACAAGCUGAUGCUACUGGGUCCCCAAAUAACGAACCUGAUCCUUCCAUGGAGAAUCCAGGCCGGGAGUCAUCUUCCCAGGUCAGUAUUGAUCUUGCUGCCUCUCCCCACUUCGAUGCUGAGACUUUGAAUAUGGGGGUGCUUGAGACAAAUCCUGACAAUGAAGAAUACGCAAAUGAUUUAGUGUAUUCUAACUUCAUCAAGGCUAGGACUAAGCCAACGGUAACUUGAACGCCACCUGCUAAGCGACCUAAUAGACAACUGUAGAAAAAGAAGGCUCUAGAGUUUGCCCUAAAGAAGAGUAAAAGGAGUAGAAGAAGGAGAAAGUUGGUUAAGGAUGGAAAAGUUGUACAAGAAGAGAAUGUUCCUAUAGUGGAUAUGGAUGAGGAAACCAAAGAAGAACCUAGUUCCUUAUACUGAAAGUCUUCAAGGAAAAUGCACUGUCUCUCUCAAUCUGAAAAGCACACCUCUAAGGAUGCUAAGAUUUUUUCCAAGAGUGAUGUUGCGGGUUCUAGUAAAAAGCUGUCAAAACGUUCUGGUGACAAGACAAUGAAGGAGGGUGGUGACAAGUCUUAUGAGGAACAAGUGGAGAAAUCUAGUAAACAUAGGUAGAGCAAGUCACUGGAGAAGGAAAUGUCUGUUGAAAAGUCAAUGAAAGGAAAUAGGGAUAAUGAUGAUGAUAAUAAGGAACCACGUUGCGUCAAGAAAGGAAAGAUGAGUGAAACUCUAAGGUUUGAGAAAGGGAAGCUGGGGAAUCAAAAAGUGUUGUGGGGCUGCACUUUUGCCUCUGACAUUCUAGAGAGUGCUGUGAUGAGACAAGUUUGGAUGUUUGUGAUGCUCAACAGUGGACAAAUUUGUUUACAAGUGAGGCUCCUAUAGUGUAUGAGGAGGAGGUGUUGAGUUUCUAUACUAGCCUCUUCACAGUAGAUGGUGAUCAAAUUUGUGUGUUGGUAAAUGAGGUAGAUAUAGUGAUGGAUUCUUCCUUAUGGGGGCCAAUUAUGGAUGUUCCUAUCGAAGAAUUGUCAUCUGCUCGGGCACUUGCACAACAAACUUUAGAAAUGCCAUUGUCAAGGGCAAGGCACUACAUCAUGUGGAAUAGGUGCAUAAGAAGGCACUCCUUCCAGUUUAUCAACUGCUCUUUGAGAUGGUUAACAAAGUAUUACUUCCUCGUACUGAAAGAAAAUAUGUUGUAUCCAAAGUCAGAGGAGUUUGAAGCACUUCCAAAAUCUCUCAACUGAUAAAUUCUCAGAAUAGUGCCAUUGAGAAGAUUCAGAAGUUGAAGGCUAGGAGCACGAUUCUUGAGAAUCCGCUUAGUCAGUUGAAAGAGGUAUUUAUUUCCAGUGGUUCUCACAGCACAGAGUUUGCACGCCUAUCAAAGGAGAAUUUUGAUCUAAGUAAAUAGGUAUAGGACCUGUAAGAAAGACUGCUCAAUGAGAAACUAUCCGCGAAGCUUGCAUGGAUCUUGUCCUCCAAACUCUUGCUUUCUCUUCCAAGUCCCCUUCCUCCAAUGUCCCUUAGAGAAUGUUCCCUUGGUGUCCAGUGUCUAUCCUUUUAUGUUGUUGUUGGUGAUAUUUUGUUAUUUUUGGUAUAUGUUUUUUAUAUGUUCUAGAUUUUGGAUGGAAAACAAUGACAUAGCUAUUGCCUGUAAUAGUCCAAUUCUUGUAAAUGAAAGUUGUUUCCCUUUUGCUAUCUAUGAUGCUGCUCUUUACUUCUGUCUUUUAUCAUGAUGUGAGCACAUAAGUGAAAUGAGUUAACUAUGAUAGACUUCUUUAUGCUGCUAACAUGUUCUGUCCUCUUUAUGAUGCCAAAAGAGGAAAGAUUUAAUUUAAUAAUCAAAAUAAAGAUGGGGGAACCUCAUUCAAGGGGAACUCACAAAAUUUCAGAAACUGAGGAUAUACAACGUGAAUCUAUCGAUGUCAAUGAAACUUUUUCACCGGUAGUCAAACUGACUACCAUCAGAUGCCUUCUAGCUGCAGCAGUCAAACGGAAUUGGGGAAUUUACCAAUUCGACGUGAAUAAUGCAUUCUUGUACGGUGAUCUAAAUGAGGAAGUGUGUAUGAAAUUACCUCCUGGUAUUAUGUCUCCUCCCCUUAGACAUGUUAGCAGGUUGGAGAAGUCCCUUUAUGGACUUCAAUAUUAUUCUAGGCAAUGGUAUGCAAAGCUGACCACUACAUUAAACUUCAAAGGAUUGAUUCAUUCUUUAAAAGGAUAUUCUCUUUUUUUCAAGAAAACAAACUAUCCUAUCUCAAUUGUUGUUAUUUAUGUCGACGAUAUACUUCUAAUAGAUAAUGACAAUUCAAAACUACGAUCUCCAAAGGAAUUUUUAGACCAAGAGUUCAAAAUAAAGGAUCUCGGAGACUUAUAUUUUUUCAUAAGAAUGGAAGUUGUUCGUGAACCUUAGGGGCUUAUCCUUCAUCAGAGAAAGUUCACUCUAGAUCUUCUCCGGGAGUUCAAUACACUAUAUGUACGCCAUGUCUCUUCUUCUCUUGAUCCAUCUGUCAAGCUAAAUGCUAUGGUUGGUGCUGUCAUACCAGAUCCUACUUUAUAUCAGCAUCUUUUGGGAAACUCAAUUACCUAACACAUACGAGGCCUGAUCUUUCUUUCUCGAUUCGCAUUUAAGUCAGUACAUGCAAGACCCGCGAAAACCUCAUCUUGAUGUAGCUUUUCGAGUGCUACAUUAUCUGUUACGCGAUCCUGGUCUUGGAAUUUUUAUGACAGCCUCUUCCUCUUUUGAGUUGUUGGCUUUUUGUGACUCGGAUUGGGGCUCCUGUCUAGAUUCUCGUUGCUCUGUGAGUGGCUACUUCAUAUCACUUGGUCCUUCUCCUAUUUCAUGGAAAUCAAGGAAGCAAGCCUCAAUCCUGCUAAGUUAUGCCGAGGCUGAGUAUCGCAGCAUGCAGCGAGUUGUUACAGAGCUCACCUGGUUGGUACGUUUGUUUGAUGAUCUCUCAAUCCCCAUAUCACUUCUUGUUCAUCUUCACUCCGACAGUCAAGCUGCAAUCCUAGCUAAGAACCCCGUCUUUCAUGAAAGGACGAAGCACGUGGAGAUUGACUAUCAUUUUGUGCGUCAACAGUAUCUCACAUGUUUAAUUUCCCUCUCUUUCGUCCGAUCUUCUUCUCAUUUGGUAGAUCUAUUUACCAAAUCCCUCACCGGCCUUGUUCAUCGCAAUCUAUUGUGCAAGUUGGGGUCCUCUCGUCCCCCGCCAACUUGAGGGGGGAUGUUGGUGCACAACCUAGAAGUACGCUAGUAGAGAAGAACAAAAAGAAGAACAAAUAUCUCUUAUUUAGAAACACCAAGGAAGAAGAUAGAGGCGGUGGAAGCUAAGUGUUUGUUUGAAGGGUUUC